rnacentral:rRNA from 1 species
AUUGAACGCUGGCGGCAGGCCUAACACAUGCAAGUCGAACGGUAACAGGAAGAAGCUUGCUUCUUUGCUGACGAGUGGCGGAUGGGUGAGUAAUGUCUGGGAAACUGCCUGAUGGAGGGGGAUAACUACUGGAAACGGUAGCUAAUACCGCAUAACGUCGCAAGACCAAAGAGGGGGACCUUCGGGCCUCUUGCCAUCGGAUGUGCCCAGAUGGGAUUAGCUAGUAGGUGGGGUAACGGCUCACCUAGGCGACGAUCCCUAGCUGGUCUGAGAGGAUGACCAGCCACACUGGAACUGAGACACGGUCCAGACUCCUACGGGAGGCAGCAGUGGGGAAUGUUGCACAAUGGGCGCAAGCCUGAUGCAGCCAUGCCGCGUGUAUGAAGAAGGCCUUCGGGUUGUAAAGUACUUUCAGCGGGGAGGAAGGGAGUAAAGUUAAUACCUUUGCUCAUUGACGGUACCCGCAGAAGAAGCACCGGCUAACUCCGUG